CAAUGAAACAGGUGUGCAUUGCAGGUAAAGUUAGAUUUUAGGAGAAUCUGUUUAAUCUAGCUCAUGAUGUUUUACCCUGGUGAAUAUGAUUCAACCAUAUAUGAUUAAAAAUAUAUAUAUUAUGUGUUACUACUUUGCAAUGCAACAUUUGUCCUACCAUAACCCUAACCCAUGACCCGUCUUCAUACAGCGAAAUUAUUUGAACACAGGGUUUUUUUAAGAACUUGUCUGGGGGGUGGGCAUC